rnacentral:rRNA from 1 species
GACGAACGCUGGCGGCGUGCUUAACACAUGCAAGUCGAACGGAAAGGCCCUGCUUUUGUGGGGUGCUCGAGUGGCGAACGGGUGAGUAACACGGGAGUAACCUGCCCUUGACUUUGGGAUAACUUCAGGAAACUGGGGCUAAUACCGGAUAGGAGCGCCUGCUGCAUGGUGGGGGUUGGAAAGUUUCGGCGGUUGGGGAUGGACUCGCGGCUUAUCAGCUUGUUGGUGGGGUAGUGGCUUACCAAGGCUUUGACGGGUAGCCGGCCUGAGAGGGUGACCGGCCACAUUGGGACUGAGAUACGGCCCAGACUCCUACGGGAGGCAGCAGUGGGGAAUAUUGCACAAUGGGCGGAAGCCUGAUGCAGCAACGCCGCGUGCGGGAUGACGGCCUUCGGGUUGUAAACCGCUUUCGCCUGUGACGAAGCGUGAGUGACGGUAAUGGGUAAAGAAGCACCGGCUAACUACGUG